GUGUUGGGGAACGUUGCAGAAAAUUAAAAUUUUUCCUACGGCUUCACCAAGAUCCAUCUAUGAGUUCAUCUAAGCAACGAGCAACGGGAGAGAGAUUGCAUCUACAUACCACUUGUAGAUCGCGUGCGGAAGCUUGCAAGGUGAUGAUGGAGUCGUACUCGAACGUGAUUCUGAUCACCGAUGUCCAAGUGCUGAACGGACAGCACCUCCGCGUUCAACACACGUACGGGACGGGCAACGUCUCCUCCGUCUUGAUCCAGCAAGGAGGAAGGAGAGGUUGAGGAAGACAGCUCCACCGACAGCACGACGGCGUGGUGAUGGUGGAGAAGCAGUACUCCGACAGGGCUUCGCCGAGCGCACAACGGAGGAGGAGAGGUGUUGGGGAGGGGAGGGCUGCGCCUUGGCUUGGGUGCGGCUGCCCUCCCCUCACCCCUCUAUUUAUAGGGGGAAGGGAGAAGGGGGCCGGCCCCUCUAGAUUCCAUCUAGGGGGGGGCGGCCAAGGGGAGGGGGGACUUGCCCCCCAAGCAAGGGGGGGGCGCCCCCUCUAGGGUUCCCCCCUCAACCCUAGGCGCAAGGGCCCAGGGGAGGGGUGCGCCAAGCCCACCAGGGGCUAGCCACCUCCCCACGCAGCCCAAGUGGCCCCCCGGGAGGGGUGGCCCCUCCCGGUGGACCCCCGGAACCCUUCCGGUGGCCCCGGUACAAUACCGGUAUGCCCCCAAAACUUUCCGGUGUCCUUUUAACAACUUCCCAUAUAUAAAUCUUUACCUCCGGACCCUUCCGGAACUCCUCGUGGCGUCCGGGAUCUCAUCCGGGACUCCGAACAACAUUCGGUAGUCACGUACUAGUCUUCCUAAUAACCCUAGCGUCACCAAACCUUAAGUGUGUAGACCCUACGGGUUCGGGAGACACGCAGACAUGACCGAGACGACUCUCGGGCAAUAACCAACAGCGGGGUCUGGAUACCCAUGUUGGCUCCCACAUGCUCCUCGAUGAUUUCAUCGGUUGAACCACGAUGUCGAGGAUUCGAUCAAACCCUGUAUGCAAUUCCCUUUGUCAGUCGGUACGUUACUUGCCCGAGACUCGAUCGUCGGUAUCCCAAUACCUUGUUCAGUCUCGUUACUGGCAAGUCACUUUACUCGUACCGUAAUGCAUGAUCCCGUGGCCAACACCUUGGUCACAUUGAGCUCAUUAUGAUGAUGCAUUACCGAGUGGGCCCAGAGAUACCUCUCCGUCAUACGAAGUGACAAAUCCCAGUCUCGAUCCGUGUCAACCCAACAGAUACUUUCGGAGAUACCUGUAAUGCACCUUUAUAGUCACCCAGUUACGUUGUGACGUUUGAUACACCCAAGGCACUCCUACGGUAACCGGGAGUUACACGAUCUCAUGGUCGAAGGAAGAGAUACUUGACAUUGGCAAAGCUUCUAGCAAACGAACUAUACGAUCUUUUAUGCUAUGCUUAGGAUUGGGUCUUGUCCAUCACAUCAUUCUCCUAAUGAUGUGAUCCCGUUAUCAACGACAUCCGAUGUCCAUAGUCAGGAAACCAUGACUAUCUAUUGAUCACAACGAGCUAGUCAACUAGAGGCUCACUAGGGACAUAUUAUGGUCUAAGUGUUCACACGUGUAUUACGAUUUCCGGAUAAUACAGUUAUAGCAUGAACAAAAGACAAUUAUCAUGAACAUUGAAAUAUAAUAAUACUUUUAUUAUUGCCUCUAGGGCAUAUUUCCAACAGUCUCCCACUUGCACUAGAGUCACCAAUCUAGUUACAUUGUGAUGAAUCGAACACCCAUAGAGUUCUGGUGUUGAUCAUGUUUUGCACGCGAGAGAGGUUUAGUCAACGGAUCUGCGACAUUCAGAUCCGUGUGCACUUUGCAAAUCUCUAUGUCUCCAUCUUGAACAUUUUCACAGAUGGAGUUGAAACGACGCUUGAUGUGCCUGGUCUUCUUGUGAAACCUGGGCUCCUUGGCAAGGGCAAUAGCUCCAGUGUUGUCACAGAAGAGUUUGAUCGGCCCCGACGCAUUGGGUAUGACUCCUAGGUCGGUGAUGAACUCCUUCACCCAAAUCGCUUCAUGCGCUGCCUCCGAGGCUGCCAUGUACUCCGCUUCACACGUAGAUCCCGCCACGACGCUUUGCUUGCAGCUGCACCAGCUUACUGCUCCACCAUUCAACAUAUAUACGUAUCCGGUUUGUGACUUAGAGUCAUCCAGAUCUGAGUCGAAGCUAGCGUCGACGUAACCCUUUACGACGAGCUCUUCGUCUCCUCCAUAAACGAGAAACAUGUCCUUUGUCCUUUUCAGGUACUUCAGGAUAUUCUUGACCGCUGUCUAGUGUUCCUUGCCGGGAUUACUUUGGUAUCUUGCAACCAAACUUACGGCAAGGUUUACAUCGGGUCUGGUACACAGCAUGGCAUACAUAAUAGAUCCUAUGGCUGAAGCAUAGGGGAUGACACUCAUCUCUUCUUUAUCUUUUGACGUGGUCGGUGACUGAGCCGAGCUCAAUCUCACACCUUGUAACAUAGGCAAGAACCCCUUCUUGGACUGAUCCAUUUUGAACCUCUUCAAAAUCUUAUCAAGGUAUGUGCUUUGUGAAAGACCUAUGAGGCAUCUCGAUCUAUCUCUAUAGAUCUUGAUCCCUAAUAUAUAAGCAGCUUCUCCAAGGUCCUUCAUUGAAAAACACUUGUUCAAGUAGGCCUUAAUGCCGUCCAGAAGUUUCGUAUCAUUUCCCAUCAAGAGUAUGUCAUCUACAUAUAACAUGAGAAAUGCUACAGAGCUCCCACUCACUUUCUUGUAAACGCAGGCUUCUCCAUAAGUCUGCAUAAACCCAAACGCUUUGAUCAUCUCAUCAAAGCGAAUGUUCCAACUCCGAGAUGCUUGCACCAGUCCAUAAAUGGAUCGCUGGAGCUUGCAUACUUUGUUAGCGUUCUGAGGAUCGACAAAACCUUCCGGCUGCAUCAUAUACAGCUCUUCCUUAAGAUGUCCGUUAAGGAAUGCCGUUUUGACGUCCAUCUGCCAUAUCUCAUAAUCAUAGUAUGCGGCAAUUGCUAACAUGAUUCGGGUGGACUUCAGCUUCGCUACGGGAGAGAAUGUCUCGUCUUAGUCAAUCCCUUGAACUUGUCGAUAACCCUUAGCGACAAGUCGAGCUUUAUAGAUGGUAACAUUACCAUCCGCGUCCGUCUUCUUCUUAAAAAUCCAUUUAUUUUCUAUCGCUCGCCGAUCAUCGGGCAAGUCUAUCAAAGUCCAUACUUUGUUUUCAUACAUGGAUUCUAUCUCGGAUUUCAUGGCCUCAAGCCAUUUGUUGGAAUCCGGGCCCGCCAUCGCUUCUUCAUAGUUCGAAGGUUCAUUGUUGUCUAACAACAUGAUUUCCAUGACAGGGUUGCCGUACCACUCUGGUGCGGAACGUGUCCUCGUGGACCUUUGAAGUUCAGUAGCAACUUGAUCCGAAGUACCUUGAUCAUCAUCAUUGUUUUCCUCUUCAGUUGGUGUGGGCAUCACAGGAACGGUUUCCUGCGCUGCAUCACCUUCCCGUUCGAGAGGUAGUACUUCAUCGAGUUCUACUUUCCUCCCACUUACUUCUUUCGAGAGAAACUCUUUCUCCAGAAAGCAUCCGUUCUUGGCAACAAAGAUCUUGCCUUCGGAUCUUAAGUAGAAGGUAUACCCGACAGUUUCCUUAGGGUAUCCUAUGAAUACGCAUUUUUUCGACUUGGGUUCGAGCUUUUCAGGUUGAGGUUUCUUGACAUAAGCAUCGCAUCCCCAAACUUUUAGAAACGACAGCUUAGGUUUCUUUCCAAACCAUAAUUCAUACGGUGUCGUCUCAACGGAUUUAGACGGUGCCCUAUUUAAACUGAAUGUAGCUGUCUCUAGAGCGUAUCCCCAAAAUGACAGCGGUAAAUCGGUAAGAGACAUCAUAGACCGCACCAUAUCCAAUAGAGUGCGAUUACGACGUUUGGACACACCGUUUCGUUGAGGUGUUCCAGGCGGCGUGAGUUGUGAAACGAUUCCACAUUUUCUUAAGUGUGUACCAAAUUCGUGACUUAAGUAUUCUCCUCCACGAUCUGAUCGUAGGAACUUUAUCUUUCGGUCACGUUGAUUCUCCACCUCACUCUGAAAUUCCUUGAACUUUUCAAAGGUCUCAGACUUGUGUUUCAUUAAGUAGACAUACCCAUAUCGACUCAAGUCAUCAGUGAGAGUGAGAACAUAACGAUAUCCUCCGCGAGCCUCAACGCUCAUUGGACCGCACACAUCGGUAUGUAUGAUUUCCAACAAGUUGGUUGCUCGCUCCAUUGUUCCGGAGAACGGAGUCUUGGUCAUUUUGCCUAAGAGGCAUGGUUCGCAUGUGUCAAACGAUUCAUAAUCAAGAGACUCUAAAAGUCCAUCAGUAUGGAGCUUCUUCAUGCGCUUGACACCAAUUUGACCAAGACGGCAGUGCCACAAGUAUGUGGGACUAUCGUUAUCAACUUUACAUCUUUUGGCAUCCACACUAUGAACAUGUGUAACAUUACGCUCGAGAUUCAUUAAGAAUAAACCAUUGACCAUCGGAGCAUGACCAUAAAAUAUAUCUCUCAUAUAAAUCGAACAACCAUUAUUCUCAGACUUAAAUGAGUAGCCAUCUCGUAUUAAACGAGAUCCAGAUACAAUGUUCAUGCUCAAACAUGGCACUAAAUAACAAUUAUUAAGGUUCAAAACUAAUCUCGUAGGUAAAUGUAGAGGCAGCGUGCCGACGGCGAUCACAUCGACUCUGGAACCAUUCCCGACGCGCAUCGUCACCUCGUCCUUUGCCAGUCUCCGUUUAUUCCGCAGCUCCUGCUGUGAGUUACAAAUAUGAGCAACGGCACCGGUAUCAAAUACCCAGGAGUUACUACGAGUACUGGUAAGGUACACAUCAAUUACAUGUAUAUCAAAUAUACCUUUGGUGUUGCCGGCCUUCUUAUCCGCUAAGUAUUUGGGGCAGUUCCGCUUCCAGUGACCCUUCCCCUUGCAAUAAAAGCACUCAGUCUCAGGCUUGGGUCCAUUCUUGGACUUCUUCCCGGCAACUGGCUUACCGGGCGCGGCAACAUCUUUGCCGUCCUUCUUGAAGUUCUUCUUACCCUUGCCCUUCUUGAACUUAGUGGUCUUAUUGACCAUCAACACUUGAUGUUCUUUCUUGAUUUCAGCCUCUGCUGACUUCAGCAUCGAGAACACUUCAGGAAUGGUCUUUACCAUCCCCUGCAUGUUGUAGUUCAUCACAAAGCUCUUGUAGCUUGGUGGGAGCGACUGGAGGAUUCUGUCAAUGACCGCCUCAUCUGGGAGGUUUAUGUUCAGCUGGGUCAUACGGUUGUGCAACCCAGACAUCUUCAGGAUGUGCUCACUGACAGAACUGUUUUCCUCCAUCUUACAACUAUAGAACUUGUCGGAGACAUCAUAUCUCUCGACCCGGGCAUGAGCUUGGAAAACUAGUUUCAGCUCUUCAAACAUCUCAUAUGCUCCGUGGUGCUCAAAACGCUUUUGGAGCCCCGGUUCUAAGCUGUAAAGCAUGCCGCACUGAACGAGGGAGUAAUCAUCAGCACGAGCUUGCCAAGCGUUCAUAACGUCUUGGUUCUCUGGGACGGGAGCGUCACCUAGCGGUCCUUCUAGGACAUAUUGCUUCCUGGCAGCUAUGAGGAUGAUCCUCAGGUUCCGGACCCAGUCCGUAUAGUUGCUGCCAUCAUCUUUCAGCUUGGUUUUCUCUAGGAACGCGUUGAAGUUCAUGUUGACAUUAGCGUUGGCCAUUGAUCUACAAGACAUAUUUGCAAAGGUUUUAGACUAAGUUCAUGAUAAUAAAGUUCUAAUCAAAUUAUGAACUCCCACUUAGAUUAGACAUCCCUCUAGUCAUCUAAGUGUUACACGAUCCGAAUCGACUAGCCCGUGUCCGAUCAUCACGUGAGACGGACUAGUCAUCGUCAGUGAACAUCUUCAUGUUGAUCGUAUCUUCCAUACGACUCGUGUUCGACCUUUCGGUCUCCGUGUUCCGAGGCCAUGUCUGCACAUGCUAGGCUCGUCAAGUUAACCCUAAGUGUUUUCGCUGUGUAAAACUGUCUUACACCCGUUGUAUGUGAACGUAAGAAUCCAUCACACCCGAUCAUCACGUGGUGCUUAGAAGCGACGAAAUGUAGCAACGGUGCACAGUUAGGGGAGAACACUUCUUGAAAUUUUGUAAGGGAUCAUCUUAUUUACUACCGUCAUCCUAAGUAAACAAGAUGUAAAAGCAUAAUAAACAUCACAUGCAAUUAUAUAUUUGUGACAUGAUAUGGCCAAUAUCAUAAAGCUCCAUUGAUCUCCAUCUUCGGGGCUCCAUGAUCAUCUUGUCACCGGCUUGACACCAUGAUCUCCAUCAUCAUGAUCUCCAUCAUCGUGUCUUCAUGAAGUUGUCACACCAACGACUACUUCUACUUCUAUGACUAACGCGUUUAGCAAUGAAGUAAAGUAGUUUACAUGGCGUUCUUCAAUGACACGCAGGUCAUACAAAAAAUAAAGACAACUCCUAUGGCUCCUGCCGGUUGUCAUACUCAUCGACAUGCAAGUCGUGAAUCCUAUUACAAGAACAUGAUCUCAUACAUCACAAUUCAUCAUUCAUCACAACUUCUGGCCAUAUCACAUCACAUGAUCAAUCGCUGCAAAAACAAGUUAGACGUCCUCUAAUUGUUGUUGCAUCUUUUACGUGGCUGCGAUUGGGUUCUAGCAAGAACGUUUUCUUACCUACGAAUCACCACAACGUGAUUUUGUCAACUUCUAUUUACCCUUCAUAAGGGCCUUGUUCAUCGAAUCCGCUCCAACUAAAGUGGGAGAGACAGACACCCGCCAGCCACCUUAUGCAACUAGUGCAUGUCAGUCGGUGGAACCGGUCUCACGUAAGCGUACGUGUAAGGUUGGUCCGGGCCGCUUCAUCCCACAAUACCGUUGAGCAAGAAAAGACUAGUAGAGGCAAGUAAGAUGACAAGAUCAACGCCCACAACAAAUUGUGUUCUACUCGUGCAUUAGAGAACUACGCAUAGACCUAGCUCAUGAUGCCAUUGUUGGGGAACGUUGCAGAAAAUUAAAAUUUUUCCUACGGCUUCACCAAGAUCCAUCUAUGAGUUCAUCUAAGCAACGAGCAACGGGAGAGAGAUUGCAUCUACAUACCACUUGUAGAUCGCGUGCGGAAGCUUGCAAGGUGAUGAUGGAGUCGUACUCGAACGUGAUUCUGAUCACCGAUGUCCAAGUGCUGAACGGACAGCACCUCCGCGUUCAACACACGUACGGGACGAGCGACGUCUCCUCCGUCUUGAUCCAGCAAGGAGGAAGGAGAGGUUGAGGAAGACAGCUCCACCGGCAGCACGACGGCGUGGUGAUGGUGGAGAAGCAGUACUCCGACAGGGCUUCGCCGAGCGCACAACGGAGGAGGAGAGGUGUUGGGGAGGGGAGGGCUGCGCCUUGGCUUGGGUGCGGCUUCCCUCCCCUCACCCCUCUAUUUAUAGGGGGAAGGGAGAAGGGGGCCGGCCCCUCU
rnacentral:lncRNA from 1 species